rnacentral:rRNA from 1 species
UACGAAGGGGGCUAGCGUUGUUCGGAAUUACUGGGCGUAAAGCGCGCGCAGGCGGUUAUGUAAGUCUGAUGUUAAAGCCCGGGGCUCAACCUCGGUCCGCAUUGGAAACUGCGUAGCUUGAGUGCAGAAGAGGAAAGUGGUAUUCCACGUGUAGCGGUGAAAUGCGUAGAGAUGUGGAGGAACACCAGUGGCGAAAGCGGCUUCCUGGUCCAGCACCGACGUUCAGGCACGAAAGCGUGGGGAGCAAACAGG